rnacentral:sRNA from 3 species
AUAUCUCUCUGUACGGGAAGGAUGAGAAGCUUCUACCAGGGUUCGAUUCGAGCGCAGCGAGAAAGCGUUGCCGCAGGCAACGACCCGAAGGGCGA